rnacentral:rRNA from 1 species
UUCCGGUUGAUCCCGCCGGACCUGACUGCUAUCGGAUUGAUACUAAGCCAUGCGAGUCAUUGUAGCAAUACAAGGCAUACGGCUCAGUAACGCGUAGUCAACCUAACCUAUGGACGGAAAUAACCUCGGGAAACUGAGAAUAAUGUCCGAUAGAACACUAUACCUGGAAUGGUUUGUGUUCCAAAUGAUUUAUCGCCGUAGGAUGGGACUGCGGCCUAUCAGUUUGUUGGUGAGGUAAUGGCCCACCAAGACUAUUACAGGUACGGGCUCUGAGAGGAGUAGCCCGGAGAUGGGUACUGAGACACGGACCCAGGCCCUAUGGGGCGCAGCAGGCGAGAAAACUUUGCAAUGUGCGAAAGCACGACAAGGUUAAUCCGAGUGAUUUGUGCUAAACGAAUCUUUUGUUAGUCUUAGAACCACUAACGAAUAAGGGGUGGGCAAGUUCUGGUGUCAGCCGCCGCGGUAAAACCAGCACCUCAAGCGGUCAGGAUGAUUAUUGGGCCUAAAGCAUCCGUAGCCGGCUCUGUAAGUUUUCGGUUAAAUCUGUACGCUCAACGUACAGGCUGCCGGGAAUACUGCAGAGCUAGGGAGUGGGAGAGGUAGACGGUACUCGGAAGGAAGGGGUAAAAUCCUUUGAUCUUUUGAUGACCACCUGUGGCGAAGGCGGUCUACCAGAACACGUCCGACGGUGAGGGAUGAAAGCUGGGGGAGCAAACCGGAUUAGAUACCCGGGUAGUCCCAGCUGUAAACUAUGCAAACUCAGUGAUGCAUUGACUUAUGGUCAAUGCAGUGCUGCAGGGAAGCCGUUAAGUUUGCCGCCUGGGAAGUACGUACGCAAGUAUGAAACUUAAAGGAAUUGGCGGGGGAGCACCACAAGGGGUGAAGCCUGCGGUUCAAUUGGAUUCAACGCCGGA